rnacentral:rRNA from 1 species
GUUUCCGUAGGUGAACCUGCGGAGGAUCAUUA